AUUGAACGCUGGCGUCAGGCCUAACACAUGCAAGUCGAACGGGUGGCGGACUGGUGAGUAAUGUCUGGGAAACUGCCUGAUGGGGGGGGAUAACUACUGGAAACGGUAGCUAAUACCGCAUACCAUCAGAUGUGCCCAGAUGGGAUUAGCUUUUUGGUGGGGUAACGGCUCACCAAGGCGACGAUCCCUAGCUUGUCUGAGAGGAUGACCAGCCACACUGGAACUGAGAUACGGUGCAGAUUCCUACGGGAGUCAGCAGUGGGGAAUAUUGCACAAUGGGCGCAAUCCUGAUGCAGCCAUGCAGCGUGUAUGAAGAAGGCCUUCGUGUUGUAAAGUACUUUCAGCUGGGAGGCGUUACCCGCAGAAGAAGCACCGGCUAACUCCGUGCCAGCAGCCGCGGUAAUUC
rnacentral:rRNA from 1 species